GGUGUUCCCCAGCUGUUCCCAGGUGUUCCCAGGUGAGGUUCAGGUGUUCCCAGGUGAGGUUCAGGUGUUCCCCAGGUGUGCCCAGGUGUUCUCAGGUGGGGUUCAGGUGUUCCCAGGUGUGUCCAGGUGUUCCUAGGUGUUCUCAGGUGAGGUUCAGGUGUAUCCCAGCUGCUCCCAGGUGGGGUUCAGGUGUUCUCCAGGUGUUCCCAGGUAUUCUCAGGUGAGGUUCAGGUGUUCCCAGCUGUUCCCAGGUGAGGUUCAGGUGUUCCCAGGUGUGCCCAGAUGUUCCCAGGUGUGCCCAGCUGUUCCCAGGUGUGCUCAGGUGAGGUUCAGGUGUUCCCAGGUGUGUCCAGGUGUUCCUAGGUGUUCUCAGGUGAGGUUCAGGUGUAUCCCAGCUGCUCCCAGGUGUUCCCAGGUGAGGUUCAAGUGCCCCCAGGUGUGUCCAGGUGUUCCCAG